AGUGAACGCUGGCGGUAGGCCUAACACAUGCAAGUCGAACGGCAGCACAGUAAGAGCUUGCUCUUACGGGUGGCGAGUGGCGGACGAGUGAGGAAUACAUCGGAAUCUACUUUUUCGUGGGGGAUAACGUAGGGAAACUUACGCUAAUACCGCAUACGACCUACGGGUGAAAGCAGGGGAUCUUCGGACCUUGCGCGAUUGAAUGAGCCGAUGUCGGAUUAGCUAGUUGGCGGGGUAAAGGCGCACCAAGGCGACGAUCCGUAGCUGGUCUGAGAGGAUGAUCAGCCACCCUGGAACUGAGACACGGUCCAGACUCCUACGCGAGGCAGCAGUGGGGAAUAUUGGACAAUGGGCGCAAGCCUGAUCCAGCCAUACCGCGUGGGUGAAGAAGGCCUUCGGGUUGUAAAGCCCUUUUGUUGGGAAAGAAAAGCAGCAGGUUAAUACCCCGCUGUUCUGACGGUACCCAAAGAAUAAGCACCGGCUAACUUCGUG
rnacentral:rRNA from 1 species